GAUCUUCAUAUAAGGAAUGACCCAGAUGAUUAUAUAAAUCUACAUUUAAUUUUCAUUAGAAUUAUCCUAGGUAGUGCUUGAACUUUAAAUCCUGUAGAGUAGAAGCAAAUCUGUGUUUGCAAUAGAAAUUGCCAGAAGAAAGAACAAGGAAGACAUUUAGAUAAUUUCAUCUGGGUGUGCAAAGUCAUCACAAGAUCCAUCUUUCCAUUAUCUGGAAGUUGGGAGCCACCUGUUUUUCAUGACGGUCUGACGGUUGGAAUGAGAAGCUCACUGACAGCACCAGGGGCCUCCUAGAACUGGCUUCCAGUAAUUCUAUUUCUGCACCA
rnacentral:lncRNA from 10 species